UUUUUUUAAUAAGAAAUUAUUUCUUUUAAAAAACGAAAAAACGGGUACAAAGGGUACUCGAAACCUUUACAAGCAACCAAAUCAACCAGUUGAUAAUAAACAAGACAAUGGAGAGGAGCACCAAUAAAAAAACUAAAUGAAAAAAAGGAGUUGUUCGUAACACUAAGCCAAUCCCAAGAUAAGACAUUUACUCUCGACCAACACUCCUCAAACUUCGGAACACGUCCUUUGAACAAAACCUUGUUACGCACCAUCCAAAUAUUCCAAAUAGCCGCUAGCCAGAUAACACUGGCCAAUCCACGUUCCUCAUCCACCUUCAACAAAUGAAACUUGAAAGGAAACAAUGAUAAAUCCUCCGUUGACAUCACAAAA
rnacentral:lncRNA from 1 species